rnacentral:lncRNA from 1 species
GACGGGACCCUCUGCUUUGUCCUCCUGCUGUGCUGCUGGCAAGAAGUGAAGACCUGGCCAAUAAGAAUGAAUUCAGGUUCAAGUUCUGGACUGCCGUCAAGUUAGUCAAGUUUUAAAAAUAUGGAUGACGAUAUGACCACAGUAUUUGGAGAUCAUCUAAAGCAGAAGAGAAAGCUGCAUGAAAGUGUACUGAGAGCCAGUUACUACAGGCGGACGCCAC